ensembl:snoRNA Snord35b small nucleolar RNA, C/D box 35B
GGCACAGGAUGUUUUUUCACGAUGGUCUUCAGAUGUCUACUAUAGGCACUGUUGAGAAAAACAGUUGGCAAGGCUGAUGCCAGAAA